GGAGGGCGACGAGGCCGGGAGUGUCGAUACCGAUGGAUUUGAACUUUUCAAGAACGACGGAGAUACUCUCGUUGUGGUCGGGAAGAUAUGACUCGAGCAUAUCCGUCCUGCUUUUAAGUCCAUCUCUCCUUCCUGUCUUCAAAGGAAUAUAAGGUCCUCCUAC
rnacentral:sRNA from 1 species